CCUGCGUUUGGUUAACGUUGAUCCCAAGCUGAGAGCCUCCACCGUUGAGGGCUUGACACAAACAGUCAGGAGAAGACCUGACUACAUUACCUAGCUGACUACAGCAUUGCUGAGAAGGAGAGGUAGUGUUUCCUGUUAUGUAGUUGAGACAGGGAGACAUGCUGAUCAACGCGGUUGUGCAACUGGACUGAGCAGAGACUCUUGCAGAAGACAUCACAGCCAUAAAAACUGUAAGCAACUCUAGAACUCUUCCCAUUUUCAUGUUUCCUCGUGUUUGGUCCAUACAAAAAAUAAAAAAUACAUUUGUGCGCGUGAUUCAUAUUCUAAUAGUUUGAAAACCGAAAUAAAAUGACUCAACAUAAAGUAUAAAAAAUUAUUUAAAAAUGCCAUAUUAAAUAAUUAUUUCAUACAGUAAAUUUUUAAAAUAUAGACUACUGUUUGUACAGUAUAAAUAUUUAUUUAAAAAAGUAAAAACGAAUAUCUGCACAGGUGUACGGAUCAAAUUCUAGUUUUAUUUAUAAAGCAAACUUAUUUCUUAAUUUAUAGUAAAAUGAAGAAUAGAGUUCUUUCAUUCAACUAUAUUUUAAAGCGAGAAACAUAAUAUGGUUGGGUUGGAGAUGCUAUGAUUCGUACGAAAGUUGAAACAAAUUCUUCUCUCAUUUGGGAUACUUUUUACUUUUCCAUCCACUAUCUCUGGCUCUUGAGUUUUGAACCCAAAACAUUCGGAUUACUAUUUGGAGGGUUAAUGUUCUGUUUUUCAAAUUUGUAAUUUGGAAAAUAAUGCUUAUUAUUAAAGGUAAAGAGAUCGAACAUGCUACCCUUAAAGUAGGGAUUCAUAGAGGAUAAAAUACAUUACACAUCUCAACGAAAUGUGAAUAAAUAGGGAUUAACAAAAAAAUGCAAUCCGAGUGUGGCAUAAAAGCUUCAUCGGUUUCAGGAUAAACAUGGAUGAGAAGAAAUCAGUAUUUCAAGAAGAUUGCGAUGUAGGAAGCCACGGAAAGGAAGGUAAGAAGACGAUAUGAGAUCUUGAUAGAGCUUCCGUGUGAUCCAUCUCCUUCUCCUACUGGCACAGUUUUCGAUCCAUUUCCUGGUCCUAUUCCCAAAAUGAGUGCAUUAGAUAACAUAGUAUAUACGGAGAUCGGUGUGUCUUCAUUGCAUGUUUUUAUAAUUUCAUUUACCUGAAGAAUUUGGUGAAUCUGUAGGAGAGUCAGUAGUAGAACCACCACCUAAAAAAUGUUAUAAUACUUCAUAAAAUUCACAAGUUUUGUGGGGGGGGGUUUGGAACAAUCUUGAUUUUCUUGAAAUUCUCUUACCGUUGUUACAGCGACUGACAGGAGGAGUUUGAACAUUACAAGCCCUAGGCAAAGCAAGAGCCUGCGUUUGGUUAACGUUGAUCCCAAGCUGAGAGCCUCCACCGUUGAGGGCUUGACACAAACAGUCAGGAGAAGACCUGACUACAUUACCUAGCUGACUACAGCAUUGCUGAGAAGGAGAGGUAGUGUUUCCUGUUAUGUAGUUGAGACAGGGAGACAUGCUGAUCAACGCGGUUGUGCAACUGGACUGAGCAGAGACUCUUGUAGAAGACAUCACAGCCAUAAAAACUGUAAGCAACACUAGAA
rnacentral:lncRNA from 1 species